UUUCCGUAGGUGAACCUGCGGAAGGAUCAUUAAUGAGUUGUCAUGGGGUUCGAUGCUGGCAGCCAAUUUUUGGAUGCAUGUGCCUGCCCUAACAAUCAUCUUCCAAACACCUGUGCACAUUUUUGAGGGAGUCUUGAGUUGGUUGCCGCUCUUGGGUGAUUUUCUCACAUUCCCUUAAAUCAUUAUACGCUAUUAACAAUGUUGAACGUGCUCUGUGCCGCAAGGCUAUUAAUAUAAUACAACUUUUAACAACGGAUCUCUUGGCUCUC
rnacentral:misc_RNA from 1 species